rnacentral:rRNA from 1 species
UCCACGCCCUAAACGAUGUGUGCUCGGUGUUGGGGAUUUCAAUUGUUCCCAGUGCCUUAGCUAACGCGGUAAGCACACCGCCUGAGUAGUACGGCCGCAAGGCUAAAACUUAAAGGAAUAGACGGGGACCCACACAAGCGGUGGAGCAUGGGGUUUAAUUCGAUGAUAAGCGGAGCACCUCACCCAGGCUUGACAUCUCGGGAAUCUGGCCGAAAGGUCGGAGUGCCGCAAGGAACCCGAUGACAGGUGAUGCACGGUCGUCGUCAGCUCGUGCCUUGAGGUGUACUGUUAAGUCAGCAAACGAGCGCAACCCUCAUCCUAUGUUGUUUUUUCAUAGGAGACUGCCGCCUCCAAGGCGGAGGAAGGUGGGGAUGACGUCAGAUCUGCGUGUCCUUUAUGCCUGGGGCGAC